rnacentral:rRNA from 1 species
UACGGAGGGUGCGAGUGUUAAUCGGAAUUACUGGGCGUAAAGCGCACGCAGGCGGUUUGUUAAGCUAGAUGUGAAAGCCCCGGGCUCAACCUGGGAUGGUCAUUUAGAACUGGCAGACUAGAGUCUUGGAGAGGGGAGUGGAAUUCCAGGUGUAGCGGUGAAAUGCGUAGAUAUCUGGAGGAACAUCAGUGGCGAAGGCGACUCCCUGGCCAAAGACUGACGCACAUGUGCGAAAGUGUGGGUAGCGAACAGG